GGGGAGCGGCGACGCGCAUGCGCAGUCCUCGGGCUGGCCCGGCGCACCUUUUCUCGCUGCAGCCACAUUGUGAGCGCUCGGCCCUGCAGAUAACCGCCGGCUCCCCGCCCCGCCCCCGCCCUCGCCCACUCCGCCCACUCCCGGGCGCCCAGGGCCAUCUUUUCCUAAAAAGCAAAUGGGGCUUUCCGGCGGUGCAGAGGAUGCUGGUGCACCUGGGGACCCUGGCAGCGCAUUGCUGUCCCCAUCCAAAGACAGUUACGCACAUCCCAUAGACGGCGACGUCGACAUCAUUGCUCUGGACAAGUAUCGGAGUGCAACGCCGAGGGUGCUUUGAAGAGCGCUUUAAAAGUUUUUUGUAUCUAUCUCUCUCUAUAUAGUGCCGAGAGCACUUCUGUACGUCCGUAAUCCCCGCUAUUGGGGAGGCUGAGACUGGUGAAUUGCAAGCUUGAGCCCAGCCUGGGCAACAAUGGAAACUUGCCUCAAAAAAUAUAAAGGGCUGGGCUGGGCGCACACCUGUAAUCCCACCACUCGGGAGGCUGAAGCAGGGGGAUUGUUGCGAGUUGGAGGCCAGCCUGGGCUACAAAGUGAGCUCCAGGCCAGCCUGAACUGCAGAUCGAGACUUUGUCUCAAAAAAGGC
rnacentral:lncRNA from 1 species